ensembl:lncRNA
UCAGUUUAGCAAAUAAUAAAUUUAUUAGGUGCCUACAAGUACAAAAUACUGAAAGCUGCUGCAGGGGAUUAUAAAGAUGUGUAGGAGACGAGCCCUGCCCUCAAAGAGCUUACAAUCUAGACAAUUAGUGACACAAAUAAGUUGUGAUGGCGCUCUAAUUGAUCUCAGCAGAGUUCUUGAAAAUGUUCAUAUCCUUCAAAUUUUUCUCUUGUCAAAUUAAAUAGUGGGAAAGAGACCUUUUGUGGCAUUCGUCGGCGAGCCUGACUCUGCUUGCGAGCAUCUUUCUGCUGUUGCACGUUCUUGUCAUCCUCUCAGCGUCGUUUCCUAACUGGACCUUUGUUUGGAGAGAAUCUCCGUGCUUCCUGAACCUUCACCAGGGUUUCCUGUUGGGAGUGGGUGGCUCAGUUGCAGUUUGGCCUUGGAAUGAUUUGCAGUCCGAUUUUUCCUUCAGCAAAUCGCUCUUUUGAUUGUAGCUGAUGCUAAAAUGCUAUGCUUUGCAAUGUGUGGUUUUAAGGGUGGGAGUGAGAUGCAAUAUUAAGGAAGGCAGCCCAGACGUUUCCCUUACUUUAAACAUUUAAUAGUGCACUUAUUGAUUAUAUUCUGUACAGAUAUAGAGCAAGUUAUAAACCUCUUCCUUUUAUUUAUUUUCUUCACUUAGACUGUAUUCACGUAAAGUGUAUUUACAAUAAGGAGAAAAAAGCCUUGAGGUACAAAACCCAAAAGAAUAUCUGAGGUAUAAAUACAAGUAUAUCUUAAAUAAUAAUCUUUAUCAUGCUUUAUCUAUGUUUGAAAGCACAGUGGACAUGUUUCUUAAUAGAAUGGUAUAUACAACAUACAAUCUUACAAAUCUGGAAGCCAUCAAAAUUGAAUAUCCAAGUAUAUCUUCAUGAGGAACACUGAUAUCCAAAAUACUCAAAUUUUAAAACUCUAAUCUGACCCCCUGCCCCGAAAUUCUUCAAAGAACCUUUGAAAUAACACUGAAAAUGGUAACUACAUUAUAACAAAAUAAAAAUCCUUCUUACAACUCUCAUUCAUACAUUAUUCACUUUUGAUCCAUACAAAAUAAAUUUACUAAUACUGUCUCUUGAGUCAAUCCUUACCAUUCCAGUAAAACCUGAAUAAAGACCACCCUUCUAAAAAACUUCACUGGUUUGAGUUGGUUUUCUUGUUGUUUUUUACUAUGAUUCCUAUUUUUCAUUACCACUUAAAUAUAUUUCAAGGGCAUUCUAAAGGAAAAAAAAGAAAGAAAUGUAGGAAAAAUAAAAUAAGACAAAAGGUCAUAAAACCAGAAAACCUAUUGAUAAGAACAAACCCAAUUAAUAAACACAUGUGGCUUUCGGGAAUGCCGUUAACAACCAAAGGCGGGGGAAAAAGCCUUUCCUAGGCGGGUUAAAUUUACAGGGAUUUCCUUGGGCCACACAGUUUCCUAUAUUCCCAAACAUAGUGUCCUAAAGCGUUUCUGUUACAAACACAAAAAUGCAAAGAAUUCUAACAGGGAAAACGUUUUGAUGCUUGAUUUAAGAGUAAGUGUUAUCACGUUCAGUUUUU